rnacentral:lncRNA from 1 species
UGUAUUUCGAAAACAUUGCACAUUCAUGUAUGUUAUACAGUAGUUUAAUUACAACAAAAUGUAUUUUGAAGACGCCUUGUUUACAUAUUGUUCUCCCAGGGAUAGGUGCGAUUUUCUUCUUCUGAUGGCAGGGGUCGAAAUUUAAAAUUUUUUGUACUAUACAGUCGGAAUAGUAGAUUUUUAUAUUUACUAUUCCGUCUGAAGAUCCACUAUUCCUUAAUGUACUGUUUCCGAGAGCCCGUUCAUGCAGGGUCCGCGCUAGUGUUCUGAUUUUCAUGAAACUUGAUCAUCCGUGAGACUCCUAAAGUGAACUGAAUAAUUGAAUAACAAAAAAUAAAGCGCGUUGAAAAGUGACAGAGUGACUUGAAAUGGACAAUAAUAUUGCUGCAAAGAAAUUAGAAUACGCAAGUACUGCAAGCGAACAAGAACUUUGCUACGAAGUGGAACAGUGACUCAAAGUCCGGUAUCAAGUGAUAUAUUAUACAAGAGGAAAACCCUUGCUUGUCAAUAUUUGGUACCACAUUUUUUCUACUAUACAAACGGAAUACUGUGAUCAUAAAGUUUACUAUUCCGUCAGGCAUUUUAGUAUAUUCGGAAUAGCGGAAUAGCGGGAAUUUCGACCCCUGGAUGGAUGUAAACGAGUGGAUGAGCUAUGAAUCUUCAGAUGAGGGCACACAUACCCGGAACAUUCGUCACUCAUCUACUGGUUCACAUCCAUCAGAAGAAGAAAAUCGCACUAGAAAUCGCAGCUGUAAACGAGCCUUAAGUAGGAUACAAAAAUGCAUAUGAACACAAGAACAAUUCACUCCCACUCAGCUGAGUUUCCCAACAAAUCGGUCUAAUAUAAACAGGCCAUAAAGGUCUGCUCGUGUGAGGCUACUUAACUUGGACACUUCACGUGCGGUAUUCCAAUGAUAUUUUAUGGUGCAUGUGAAUAAUUGCAGCUUUGUAAACACUGAUUUAUUAUUAUAAUGUGAAUGCUAACAGCAUUUUUACACCCAUAUUAAAGUGUAUUGAAAAACCAAAAACAAUUAUUGGGUGUACAUGUCACGAUUACUUUGGUGUGCACUAACACGAAAAUAGCGUUCAAUUUACAUUAAAUCGGUGUCUACAGAGCUGUAAUGAUUUACACCAAUUUUGGAGUUGUGGCAACCACAGGAAGUUUAGAGUGCGGUCUCAUGCGAACAGGAAAAAUAUUUGAAAUGAAAAAUGAAAAGCAUUUGCGGCCCUCUCUUUUAAAUCCAAUGACAACAACAAAUACGCGUGUUAAGAAUUACUGAUUGCAGGGUGUCCACAGGCCUUGAAAAUCCUGGAAAGUCCUUGAAUUUGAAAAAAAAAUUCCUGGACUGGAAAGUCCUUGAAAAUGAGUAGAAGUCCAUGAAAUCCUGGAAUUAAUCUCCUUGACCUCCAGCUGUGCCAACAUUAGUCAUUUUAAUUAAGAUUACUGAAUUACUUGCUGGUUAAAGUCUAGAAUCCGUGCCAUUUUGAAAGAUUUUUCCCAGUUCUAGGUCCUUCAAUUUAUGAAAAAGGGCCUUGAAAGUCCCGGAAAAGUUCUUGAAUUUCAUCUUCACCAAAGGGUGGACACCCUGUAAUUGGCAUAAUACUACUUAAUCUUUUUUAUCUAAACCGUUUUGUUCAUAUAUAACCGUGCAUUUAAUAAUUGGGUAGCAUUCAAAAUAUAACGGUAAAUCACAUUUGUUGAAGUCAAUCAAAUGUUUUAAAACUACACUGGAUGAUUUUAAUAGAAGUUUACCGAUGACAGCUUCAGUUUCUCGUCUAAAGGCGGAUUUCCAGUCCUCGCAUGAAGCUCCUCGCAGCUGGUUGCGAGUACUUGCAUCUAAUUAAAAUUAACUAUUUGGCAUUGUGAUUGGACGAAAGUGCUCAUGCAUGCACUCGCAGAGAGCUGCGAGGAGCUUCGUGCGAGGACUGGAAAUACGCCUUAAGGCGGAUUUCUUCGCCUUCACCACAGUGUUUUUGGCGGGAAAAUUUGUAAUGUUUGGAGAAGACAAAAUAGCGCCGGUUUAUACUUCGUGUCAUCGAAGGGCAUUUUUGUUCACAAGUACCCGCUUAUUUUACGUUAUAACGGCUGGAUAGUUUUGGAAAUUAUAACUCAAUGGACAGGGAAAACGAUUCUGUAGUAAGAGAAAAAUACGUCCAGUUUUACCAGUUUAUAUUGACUUUAAUAUGUUGUGAUGUUAUUUAAUUAAAUAAUAAUAAUAGGUUUAUUCAAAAACUUAUUGCAGCAAAUGCUGAAUUACAAGUUAAUACAUAAAUUAUCAAGAAUAACUAUAUCUUUAAAAAUCUG